GCGCCCCUAGCUCAGUUGGUUAGAGCAUCNNUAGAGCAUCUGACUUUUAAUCAGAGGGUCCUCGGUUCGAGCCCGAGGGGGCGUACCA
rnacentral:tRNA from 1 species